GCUCACUGCCCAGCCAAACUAUCAACACAAACCAACCCUCAACAACAAACAAAACAUUUGCCACUACAAGUAGAUGCGAUCGAACAUAGUCAGUUUGCGCCAUAACAAAUAGUACCGAAAGGGAACGUUGAAAUAAUAAUGAAACAAAAAGCACCAAAAAGCAUAGAUUACACCUAGUACCUUUUGCAUCAUGAUCUAGCCAGCCAAAACCAGGUACAACGCAACUGCAAUCUGCCACCCCGAAAACACGCGAGCUAUUUUAGAGCAGCAUUACGUGCGAACCCGUUUCUGUAGCAAAAGGAUGGGAAGACUUUAAAAUAGAGGUGAAAUGCCAACCGCGCCUGUAGAUAGCUGGUUGCUCGAUUUAAACGAAUUUUAGUUCGACUUCAAAUGCACACAACAAUCACUUGUACAAACCACAUUUGAAAGCUAUUCAACUGGGGGACAGCUCAGUUGAACAUGGAUACAGCCUGCACCGAGAGACACAACACCAAUACACCAAAGAGUAAGCCUUGAAGCCGCUACCAAACAUCCACCGCGUCAAAGCAAACACACCUAUCAAAUCUCAACACAUACAUGCCACUCCGGACCCACACUCGAGCAAUCCUACGCACACGUAGAAGAGAUACUGCUAGAACUAGUAACUCGGCCAUAGCCUCACUCUGCACACGCGUACGAAAAACACUGCUUACCUAAACACAAAAUUGUAAAAUACUCAAACAACAAGACAAAAUAUUCAUAUCCACUAUAACCCCGACAUCGGAGUGCAUGAAAGAAAGAUAAAAUACUAUAAAAGGAACUCGACAACCAACGGCCCCAACUGUUUAUCAAAAACAUAGCCUUUAGCAACCAACAGUAUUAAAGGUCCCGCCUGCCCAGUGACACCCGUUAAACGGCCGCGGUAUCCUAACCGUGCAAAGGUAGCGCAAUCACUUGUUCUUUAAAUAAGGACCCGUAUGAAUGGCUACAUGAGGGCCGAAUUGUCUCUUAUAGUAAAUCAAUGAAACUGAUCUACCAGUACAAAAGCUGGUAUACAGACAUAAGACGAGAAGACCCCGCGGAGCUUUAAACUUACCCGCUAACAAGCAAGCGGCGCAGUUUUCGGUUGGGGCAACCUUGGAGAACAAACUAACCUCCAACACACCAUCAACUAAGGCCAACAUGCCAAAGCACAUCAACAUAUGACCCAAUAUAAUUGACUAACGAACCAAGUUACCCCGGGGAUAACAGCGCAAUCUUCUUUUAGAGUCCCUAUCGACAAGAAGGUUUACGACCUCGAUGUUGGAUCAGGAUACCCAAAUAGUGCAGCCGCUAUUAACGGUUCGUUUGUUCAACGAUUAACAAUCCUACGUGAUCUGAGUUCAGACCGGAGUAAUCCAGGUCGGUUUCUAUCUAUGUACGCACGUUCCCACAGUACGAAAGGACCUGGGAAUGGGAGCCACUAGCACUGCCACGCCCCAUCACAAUGGCUGAACACAAAUAAAGCCACUAGGCAACAACAAGCAGUAAAACACUGCC
rnacentral:rRNA from 1 species